GGUUCCAUAGUGUAGUGGUUUAUCACAUUGGACUUUGAAUCCAUUGACCCGAGUUCGAAUCUCGGUGGGACCU